AGAUGGCGACCGGCGCACGGGUGAGUAACACGUAUCCAACCUGCCGAUAACUCGGGGAUAGCCUUUCGAAAGAAAGAUUAAUACCCGAUGGCAUAAUAGAACCGCAUGGUUUGAUUAUUAAAGAAUUUCGGUUAUCGAUGGGGAUGCGUUCCAUUAGGCAGUUGGUGGGGUGACGGCCCACCAAACCUUCGAUGGAUAGGGGUUCUGAGAGGAAGGUCCCCCACAUUGGAACUGAGACACGGUCCAA
rnacentral:rRNA from 1 species